rnacentral:rRNA from 1 species
UACGAAGGGUGCAAGCGUUACUCGGAAUUACUGGGCGUAAAGCGUGCGCAGGCGGUUCGUUAUGUCCGUUGUGAAAGCCCCGGGCUCAACCUGGGAAUGGCAAUGGAAACUGGCGGGCUAGAGUGUGGCAGAGGGGGGUGGAAUUCCGCGUGUAGCAGUGAAAUGCGUAGAGAUGCGGAGGAACACCGAUGGCGAAGGCAGCCCCCUGGGCUAGCACUGACGCUCAGGCACGAAAGCGUGGGGAGCAAACAGG